rnacentral:siRNA from 1 species
AUUAACUCAUUCCUCAGUACCUCC